rnacentral:rRNA from 1 species
AAGAAAUUCGGAUUAACACCGCAUAAAAACACAACCUGGCAUCAGGAAAUGUUCAAAUAUUUAUAGGAUGAAGAUGGGCAUGCGUGUCAUUAGCUAGUUGGUGAGGUAACGGCUCACCAAGGCGACGAUGACUAGGGGAUCUGAGAGGAUGACCCCCCACACUGGUACUGAGACACGGACCAGACUCCUACGGGAGGCAGCAGUAAGGAAUAUUGGUCAAUGGAGGCAACUCUGAACCAGCCAUGCCGCGUGCAGGAAGACAGCCCUAUGGGUCGUAAACUGCUUUUAUAUGGGAAUAAACCUUGAUUCGUGAAUCAAGCUGAAUGUACCAUAAGAAUAAGGAUCGGCUAACUCCGUGCCAGCAGCCGCGGUAAUACGGAGGAUCCAAGCGUUAUCCGGAUUUAUUGGGUUUAAAGGGAGCGUAGGCGGCCUAUUAAGUCAGGGGUGAAAGACGGUGGCUCAACCAUCGCAGUGCCUUUGAUACUGAUGGGCUUGAAUGUAGUUGAGGUAGGCGGAAUGUGACAAGUAGCGGUGAAAUGCAUAGAUAUGUCACAGAACACCGAUUGCGAAGGCAGCUUACUAAGCUAUGAUUGACGCUGAGGCUCGAAAGCGUGGGGAUCAAACAGGAUUAGAUACCCUGGUAGUCCACGCCCUAAACGAUGAUAACUCGAUGUUGGCGAUAUACAGUCAGCGUCCAAGCGAAAGCGUUAAGUUAUCCACCUGGGGAGUACGCCCGCAAGGGUGAAACUCAAAGGAAUUGACGGGGGCCCGCACAAGCGGAGGAGCAUGUGGUUUAAUUCGAUGAUACGCGAGGAACCUUACCCGGGCUUGAAAGUUACUGAAGAAUUUAGAGAUAGAUUCGUCCUUCGGGACAGGAAACUAGGUGCUGCAUGGCUGUCGUCAGCU